UUUGCUGUUAGAUGGUCUCAACAGGCACCUGUUGUUGGAUGCCCCUUUGGGGAAUCCCAGUCAUCUGCUUCACCCAUUUGUAUUUGUGCUCUGAAGACACCUAAUUGCGAUGGUCCCACAGGCCAAGAGCUGUGUUUAGGCCAUUUAAACUGGCUCCUGCAUGCAGCUCUUGCUGGGUGGUGCUGGAACAAACCAAGGGAAAAGCUGUAGGGAUGGGCUGUCCAGGCAAGUCCUCGUGUCCCUCUGGGGACAGCCAAGAAAAACAGCAGGGGAUGCUGCCACAGCAGCUGCCAUCUCACGGCUUCAGUUUCUUGCUGUAAAUACUGAUGGUAAGAGAAACCCAGCCCACAAGUCAGUCUAAAAGAAGCAUGUAACAAAUGGGCAAGUACGGGGUCUGCUUUCACCUGAUAAAUCUUCUGGUUUUCAGUAAUCAGUGAUUUAGGGAUUCCCAGUUCUUUUAGUCUCAAACUUCAAUGCUAGAUAGCCUGCUCAGGAACUGCAAGAACCUUUUCCAUGGGAUGUAUUGCCACAACAAGGCUGCAGAAAUAUGGGGAUCUGGUAUGUUAUUCUGACUGCUCAAGGACCCUGAAGAAGUGCCUGCACCUUACGAAAUCCAUAAAGGACCAGAACAUAUUCAUAACAACCCAGUCUCACUGCUGGGGAGCGUGUCUAGCAAUUGAUUUAAGUUCUACUUCUGCCUGGGACUUCAGAUUGAUCAUCUCCUCUUCACGUCAUUACCCUUAAAAAACAUCUGAAACUUAAGAACUUGGUUCCUGUCUGGCACAAACAAAC